ensembl:lncRNA
AUUGAGGAUGUGCAGCUCUGCCUGUAAUCAGCUGCUGGGGGCCUGGAGAAGGCGGAUCUGUCCAAGGCAGAGAAAGUGACGGAUGGGCAAGGGUUGAGCUGAGUGAACACGCCGAUUAAAUGGCACUUUUAAAGAAGCUCAAAGUGAGUCUGUGCAGAUGCCCAGGUGAUCGGAGGAGGGAGCAGAGGAGGAGGAGGAGGAAGAGGAGGAGUAUAAAAAGCUGCUGCUCUCUUUCAGUCGAGUUUAAAUACACUUAAGUUUCACCUGAUCAGAGCUUCCAUCAACCUGCGGAUUACCGACAUGCUGCAGCGGUCAACUGUGUUGCUGCUCUUUGCGCUUGUUGCUGUUUCACUUGCAGCUCCAGUCCAGAAGAGAAACUCAGAAGAUGAGAGAAUUCUGCCUCUGUUGGAGCACCUGAAUGGUGGCAGGACAAGUGAACCUGUCACAACAGAGCCAGAUGUUCAUGAAAGUGAAGAGCAAACUGAAGCUCCUUCAGUUGAUGCCACUGGGUCACCAGAUGUCAGCGAUGAAGGUGUUGCCAUGACUGACAGCGAUGAAGCUCCUUCAGUUGAUGCCACUGAGCCACCAGGUGGUUCAGACAUCAGCGAUGAAGCUGAUGUUACAGCUGACAGCAAUGAAGGUGACGUUAAAGAUUCUCCUGAAGAAACUGAAGAUGCUGCAGAACAGUCAAAUGAGACUGCAGAGUCUGUGCCCGAAAACAGCGCCGACACCAGCACGGAGUCUGAGCCAGCACCUAAUGGUGACAAAGAAGAUGGGGGGGAGGCAUUGAGUGAUGAAGAGCAGGAAGUGAAGGAGAAGGGAGAUGAAACGAGUGAAAAAGAUACCAGUGAGGAGGAGGAGGGGGGGGAGGUGGUGCCUAUCAUAGAAGAGGACAGCAAAGAGGAAACUCCAGCUGAAGAAGACAGCCAAAUGAAUAACAGUGAGAUUGAAGACAUGGUGGAGAUAGAGGAGAAAGAGGCUGAGGAGGAAGAAACAGAAGAGGAGAAUGAGGAGGAGUUCAAAGAAGUGGAGGAGGAGAAGGAGGAAAAAGAGAACGAUAAUCAGGAUGAGCUAGGGGAGGAUAAGCAGGAUGAGCUAGGGGAGGAGAAAGAGGAGGAGGAUGAGCUAGAGGAGGAUAAGGAGGAGGACGAGCCAGAGGAGGAGGAGCUAGAGAAGGAAAAUGAAGAGAAAGAGCAAGAUGGGGAUAAAGAGGAGGAUGAGGCAGAAGAGGAGAAGGAAGAGUUAGAUAAUGAAAAGGAAGAGAAAGAGGAAGAUACGGAUGAGAAGGAGGAGCAGCGGGAGGAACUGGAGGAAGGAAAUGAGGAGGAGCAAGAGAUAAAGGAGGAGGAAGAGGAGGAGGAGGAUUUCAAGGAUGAAUCUGAAAAUGCAGAUACUGAAGAACCUGAUGAAAUUGAUGAUGGUCUGGACUCCACUGAAGCAACACCUGCUGGUGAACUGGACCAAUCAGAUGAUGCCACCCCCGUCACCAAACAGGCUACCAGUUAGAUGCUUCGCCUCUGAGCUGUGGGAGCUCAGCAACUGCAGAGCCAAGCCCACAGCCUCCACAGUGGAAUCCAGCUGCCAUGACUUCAACAACCUAAACUGCAUGAAUUUCAACGUUCAGCCAACUGUUGUUUCCUCUCCCCAUUUUCUAGCAGUGUCUGUUUUAACCUCUGGCUUCUUUGGUUUUCUCAGAUUAAAAAAGGAAAUGUCUUUCACCUGCUGACUGUCUUCUUUUCUGCCAUGUGUCUCUCUUUCCAGCUUCUUGUCUGCAGAAAUAUUAAAUCAGCUGCUGAGCUCAGAUCUGUUUUGUGUGUCUGAUUUCACACAUUAACAUGUACAUAAGUCCCUCUUUAAUUUACAGAGAAUGUUUUUAAGGACGUGAAAAACCAGUCAGUGGUGUAUACAGAGGAACUGCUAAUAAAGUUUGAAUUGUCGAAACCUCAUCGACUCUUUCUUCCAACAGUCAGCAUGCUUCCCUGAACCAGUAAUGACGUGAUUUCAGUCACACAUUUUUAUCAUAAAAUGUGACAUUAUUGUUCAGAAGCUGGAG